rnacentral:rRNA from 1 species
UACGUAGGGAGCGAGCGUUGUCCGGAUUUACUGGGCGUAAAGGGCGCGUAGGCGGCUUGACAAGUCACUUGUGAAAUCUCCGGGCUUAACUCGGAACGGCCAAGUGAAACUGUCAUGCUAGAGUGCAGAAGGGGCAAUCGGAAUUCUUGGUGUAGCGGUGAAAUGCGUAGAUAUCAAGAGGAACACCUGAGGUGAAGACGGGUUGCUGGGCUGACACUGACGCUGAGGCGCGAAAGCCAGGGGAGCAAACGGG